rnacentral:lncRNA from 1 species
AAAAUGUUGCAUUUGACACCUCAGAUUGCUCUGUAGGAAGUCCCUCAGGGACUGUGCUGUGUGGUUAGAAUCUUCUUGGGUUGGGGAGUGGUGCAGGCACAGUGGUGCCUCUGCUUUGCUGGUGCGGGGUGCAGUGGGCUGCCUCAUGUUGAUAGCACAGUGUCAGAUUUAAAUAUGGUUACACAUGUGAGCAUGUCUGUAAAACAACUGGGAUAUGAAACGCUAAGAUAGUAACAAAUUUCUUGUUUCUUUUUAUCCACUUGAGUGAAUCUUACAGUUUCACUGGGUUAAAAUUGGUGUUACAUGGAAUUCUUUUUCCUAAGAUAGUUUCCUUUUACCUUUCACAAUUUACAGGGGAUAUUAAUUAUAAGGAUAAGUUGGGUUUAUUAGACGUUAUUGAUGAUUUUGAGACUAAAAUUUGCUUUUCCUGAGUAGGUAUCUUUUAUUAAGUCUAUCUGAGUUUUGUCAGCUGUCCAGUUUCAUAAUUGUGUUUAUCGAGAUGCAGAAAAUCAGAUACUGCUUAGGCAUGCUUUGAAGGUGUGUGGUUAAAAAAAAAAAAAAACCUCUGAAGAUUUGGGAAGUUCUGUGGUCAUUAUUUAGCAUCAUGAUGGAGUGAUAAAAAUGUUGUUGCCAGCAUAUUCUUAAUUUCUCCUUAAGGCUACAGAGAGCUUAGAGAGAGGGGCCCUUUAGUAUAUUGAGUUGGCAGUAUUUGUUGAUAGUUGGCUUAGUACCUCAGGGCUCCAUGAGGCAGAACAUCAUGGUGGAAAAGUGUGGCAGAGGGAAACAGAGAGAGGUCUCCACUUGCCAGCAGAUCAUAGUAAUGUGCCAAGUUAAAUUAUCUAAUGUGUAAAAUAUACCGUGCAUUGUGUAUAAUGAGCCUCUUUCAUUUGCAGUGGGCCUUAUGCUUUGGAUUCAUUCACCUAUGGCUGCUUGAGCCGAGGCCGAGCAGCCUGCGCCUGAUGUGCCAGUCCACACUCACUGGGAGGUAGCUUAUGUAAAAUGGACAGAAAGGGUUUGCUUAACAAAUUAAUAAUAACUAAAUAAUUAAAAUUAACAAUACAUUAGGUGAGAGACUUAGUUUUAUUCAAGGAUAAGAGCAAAACCAACCUUUGAAAGUGUAACAUCAGGAAAUGUCCAUUACUGAGGCAGCCUUCCUGUUGCUCCUUGCUCUCCCUUCAUUCACAUCUUCUGUUCUGAACCUUAACCAACUUCAAUGCUAGAAAAUUAUCUUUGGAAAACAGGUGCGUGUGGUAGGUGCCUCUCAGGCCUGGUGCAGGUGUAUGUGCAAGUGGCGGUGGCAGGGUAGCGUCAGGGCCCCAGUGCUUCUGUGGACUCAUCCCAUUCCUGAGGAACGCAGGGACACUCCUCUGCCAGUGACUGGUGCUGUCACUCAGCUCCUAGAGCAAGAACUCGGCUUCACCCUUGUUACUUUAUGAACUUUUCCUUCACUUUUUAAUCAAAUACAAUAGUGAAAGCUAACCUUUUACUCCAUUUUUGACAAUUUCAUAAAGCAUGGCACAUGAAAUAAUGACAAUUCUGUAUCUUCCCUUAUACCAAUUGACCUGUAACUCCUUAAAACCAACCUCAGAUUCUUUUUUGCUUUUUCUUUUUUACAAAGGAAAUGCAGCAUUUUCUGUGUACACACGUAUUUCAGCCAUCCCUGUCAGGAUCAUCAGUCACUUUAGGUGAAGCUCAUGUAAACCCACCCUGGCUUGCAGGCCCCAAAGCCUGUAUUGCCUUUAACUGCACGUGGGAAAUGUCCAGGUGGCCCCUCACCUGACAAGAGACCCAAGCCAAAGACAGGGCAUGGCAAGUGCAGCCUCAGCUUACCUAAAGAAGCCUGGGUUCCCAGCAGGUGGGCAUCAGGCAGAGGCUGGGUGGACCUGGGGGUGAGGUGGGGCCUUUGUGUCUGGACUUCAGAACAUGUUUGCUCAAUUUGCUAAUGUAGAUUGCUAGAACUUUCUGUGCUUACAGAUGACUGCUAACAGUGGAGACAAAUACAACUUUGAAAAGACUUUGUUGGCAGGCUAAAUUAUAUAAGAGCCCCUGAUACAACUGUGGAGUUUUUAGCUUUUUAAAAAAUGUAUGCUCUCACUAGUGAGGCCUUCUAAAAGUGUAUUUUUAAUCGCAGCUAUGCUGUGUUCAAAUGAUUAAAACUGGAGCUUUCGCACUUCUGACAUUUUUUUGAAAGUGAGAGUGUAAAGUCGGGUGAACGAGGUUUGCAUUAUUAGGGCAAAAGCUAAUGUCUUGACAGAAACAUGGCAUUAAAUCUGAAUUAACAAAUGCAGAGGUUUUACUUUGGGGCUGCAGUUUUUAAGUAUGCAUUUCAAUUAGAAUUCAUUUAAACCAAACAGAUCAAAACAGUAUAAUGAGGGAAAUCUAAUCAUGAUGUUCUAAGUCACAGGCUCAUUAUCAAGUGUUUUGUGUGUAUCAUCACAGGCAGAAUUGCGUUUUAUUCCAGAGCCACUCUGGACUCUGAAAGGUUCCAGAGUAUCAGCACCAGAACAGGGCAGCCUGGCAGUGUGAUUCCUGGUGAAUUUGGCAUACCAGACAGGUAGCAGCUCUCCUUAUUUCAAAAACAAGCUAAUGAGUAAAAUAAAUUGGUCAGAGAGAGCCAGGAAUUGCUUAGCUUCACAACUGAGAGGAGUUUGGGGCAGGCAGCACUGGGGUCCAGUGGAGGAUCCCCCGGGUUGCUAGGCUUGGAGCAUAAGCAAGCCCAGGGCAGUAGAAACUUGUCAAGGAGAGGGUGCUGCUGUUAGGCCCUGAGCUUGACCAGAAAGCCACAGAGAAAGUGGACACUCAGUGCCCCCGCCUGGCCUUGUGAGCACCUCCAGCAUGGCCUGUGGUGGAGGCUGCAUGGGUUGGUUCUGGUUUUCUGCCUUGGGGCCUUUCCCAGAGUCUUCAGAACUUGCCCAGUUCUCAUUCAGGGUGCCUGGGAAGAAGGGAACCCCUCAAGGGCCACCCUGGAUGAUGGGAGUGGAGUCCCAGUCUCCUGUCCUACAAGGGCAUGGCUAUGUGGCUUGUCAAGACAGCUGACCAAAGAACCCAGCCUAGCAACACCUCUUACAAUUCUCUAGUUGUCCUUUGGGAGUGGCUCCCAGAUCCUUUAUGGGACCUUAGCUUUGAGGCAAGCCCACACCAAGCCAGUCCCAGACUGACAGCAUACCCGCUGGCAGAGGGGAGAGAGGGGCCUGCUUCUCAAUUGUGACAGGAGGGCCCUAGGGUGACCAUCAGGUUGAGACCUAGUCCUAAGCCCCCAUUCUUUCCAUAUAGAACUUUCUCCUGGAGGAAAGUUCAUGCUGGCGCCAGUGUGAGCAGGUCUGGGGGUCUGUAGUUCCCUCCUGAGCUGCUGCACCAAGAGCUUACCUAAUUCAUCGCCAAGCAGUGUGUGGCUGGUGGUCACCAAAAAAAAUCUAUUCUUACCAUUCCUGUUCCUUCUCAGGGCUCUUUUCUAAUCCCUUUUCCAAAAUAUUUUGGAGGGUGACACUGGGAACUAAGCCCAGGUGCACUACACCACUGAG